CCGAACCGUCGACACGAGUUGUUGCUGGUCCUCGAAAGGGGGCAUGUGCACGCUCUGUUUACACAUCCACUCACACCUGUGCACACUAUGUAGUUCUAUGGCCUGGGGACUCCGUCCUCUUGCCGUGGUCCUACGUCUUUACACACACACCGUAACAAAGUCUCAUGGAAUGCAUGUCGCGUUUAACGCAAUACAAUA
rnacentral:misc_RNA from 1 species